ensembl:lncRNA
ACCUCCUGGGGAGGCCCCCGAGGCAGGAAAUCAAGCCAGAUCCUGGGAAAGGGCCUUCUUGCUAAUGAACUGGCCAACCAGGCCCCUGUAAAUCCACUGACCCAUCACUAACUUACUAUGUGACUCUGCUCUCUGGGCCUCAGGCUCCUGCUCUAUAAUCAGGAGGGGACAAGGGGAGAAGCAGCGUGGUGGGAUUUAGAUGGCAAGCAUGCCUGGUAGUGGCAGGGCCAUCCGUGAACUGAGCUGAGGACAUUACAGGCCCUGGAGUGGCUGUGAGGAGCCAGGUGGCUGGAGAUGGCAGAGGCUUUGUCCUCUCUUGGAAAAGGCAGAUGAUAUUCUUUUUUAACCAACAAGCUUACCAUGUACCUGACUGCACAAAGUCUACACAGACUCACUUCAGCUUCUCCACAUUCCCAGAGAGGGUGUUUGCUACUCUGAUGGACAAACGGACAGGGGACGCAACUGUCCAGUAUCACUCGGCUCGCUGGACCAGGACAGCAGCACCAGCCUCAUCUCUGUUCUCCUCCUCCUGUCUGUUCUCGGCUCUGCAGCCGAGCGCUCUCAAAUCCACCAAGCUCUGUCCUGCCCUCACUCAGCGCCCUCCAGGGAUGUCCCCCACUCUUCAGUUUUAUUCUCCCCCACACCAACUUUGUACUCUGAAAUUCCUCUAUAAGAGGUGAAAGACUAGAAAAUGAAUACCCUAUGUACUU